rnacentral:rRNA from 1 species
AGAGUUUGAUCCUGGCUCAGGAUGAACGCUGGCGGCGUGCUUAACACAUGCAAGUCGAACGAAGCACUUUAUUUGAUUUCUUCGGAAUGAAGAUUUUGUGACUGAGUGGCGGACGGGUGAGUAACGCGUGGGUAACCUGCCUCAUACAGGGGGAUAACAGUUGGAAACGACUGCUAAUACCGCAUAAGCGCACAGGGUCGCAUGACCUGGUGUGAAAAACUCCGGUGGUAUGAGAUGGACCCGCGUCUGAUUAGCCAGUUGGUGGGGUAACGGCCUACCAAAGCGACGAUCAGUAGCCGACCUGAGAGGGUGACCGGCCACAUUGGGACUGAGACACGGCCCAAACUCCUACGGGAGGCAGCAGUGGGGAAUAUUGCACAAUGGGGGAAACCCUGAUGCAGCGACGCCGCGUGAGCGAAGAAGUAUUUCGGUAUGUAAAGCUCUAUCAGCAGGGAAGAAGAAAUGACGGUACCUGACUAAGAAGCACCGGCUAAAUACGUGCCAGCAGCCGCGGUAAUACGUAUGGUGCAAGCGUUAUCCGGAUUUACUGGGUGUAAAGGGAGCGCAGGCGGUACGGCAAGUCUGAUGUGAAAGCCCGGGGCUCAACCCCGGUACUGCAUUGGAAACUGUCGGACUAGAGUGUCGGAGGGGUAAGUGGAAUUCCUAGUGUAGCGGUGAAAUGCGUAGAUAUUAGGAGGAACACCAGUGGCGAAGGCGGCUUACUGGACGAUUACUGACGCUGAGGCUCGAAAGCGUGGGGAGCAAACAGGAUUAGAUACCCUGGUAGUCCACGCCGUAAACGAU